rnacentral:lncRNA from 1 species
GUGCUCUUUACUUCAAGGCAUGAGGAGGAGUCUCCAGUCUGACUUCUUCUAAUAUUAGAGGCAGGAAAUUCUCCUUUCUCCGGGCCUCCUGUGGGGAACCAAGCAGAAAGCCCUGCGGCAGUGUUCCCACCCAGGGGAAAUGCUCAGGCGACACCAGGAGAACCGGCACAGCACUCAGGC